UGCUCUGUUGGCUUAGUGGUUAGAGCAUUCGCCUCAGAUGCGGAAGGUCAUGUGUUCAAUUCCCGGUCGAGUCA